rnacentral:rRNA from 1 species
UUGGAGGGCAAGUCUGGUGCCAGCAGCCGCGGUAAUUCCAGCUCCAAUAGCGUAUAUUAAAGUUGUUGCAGUUAAAAAGCUCGUAGUUGAAUUUUGGGUCUGGCCGGGCGGUCCGCCAUCUGGGUGAGCACUGUUCCGACGCCGGGCCUAUCCUUCUGGUGAGUCGGCAUGUCCUUUGUUGGGUGUGUCGGGGAACCAGGACCAUUACCUUGAAAAAAUUAGAGUGUUCAAAGCAGGCGUAUGCUCGGAUACAUUAGCAUGGAAUAAUGAAAUAGGACGCGUGGUGCUAUUUUGUUGGUUUCUAGAACCGCCGUAAUGAUUAAUAGGGAUAGUUGGGGGCAUUAGUAUUCAAUUGUCAGAGGUGAAAUUCUUGGAUUUAUUGAAGACUAACUUCUGCGAAAGCAUUUGCCAAGGAUGUUUUCAUUAAUCAAGAACGAAAGUUAGGGGAUCGAAGACGAUCAGAUACCGUCGUAGUCUUAACCAUAAACUAUGCCGACUAGGAAUCGGGCGAUGUUAUUCUCAUGACUCGCCCGGCGCCUUAUGGGAAACCAAAGUGUUUGGGUUC